GCUCAGGACAGUCAGGAGACACCAGACCAGCCUGGAGAGGACAAGAAAGACACACAGAGAGAAACAUUUACAAGCAGAUUUUAAAAAAUCGACCUGCUCAAAGUGUUUGAUUGACAGGUGGAGUGUUCAGUGAAGAUGGAAGAUGUGCUGGAAAGUAUUUAUUCCUGGAGAAGCAAAGUUUUUCCCUCGCACAUAAAGAAAAUAGGUAGAUGUAAUAGUCACCCAUGUCUUACAGUAAUUUGAGACCUUUCUACACACUAAGGCAGCAUACUGUUGUAUUUUGUAUGUUUAUAAUUUUCUCUUGUCUACUUCUUUCUAUUCUGUCUUUACUAUGGCUCAUGGACAAAAGAAAGAAAUUUGUCAAUAGAAAACAAAAAAAAGAUGGUUACAAGUUUCAUAGAAAAAGGAGAAAUUAAAAAAGAAAUAAAAGUAGUUGUUCAAACAUU